CAGACUAUACUCUUAUAGAAGAGAUUAACAUUUACAAUGUUAAGGUAGUUGUGCAAUUCAACUUAGUCUGA
rnacentral:tRNA from 1 species